UAAAUAGAACUAUUGUCAAAGGUUAAAGAACUACCAGUAAAUUGUACAUUGAAACCUGUUAGCUUCUGAGUUCUGUUUUGUAUAUAAUGUAUAUUUUCUAUGUUAUGUUGCCUUGAGUUUAUGUUUUUAAUAUAACAUCGAGACUAUUUUCACUAGUUCGUCAGCCAAAUUAAGUGUUAACAAAGUCCAUAACAAGAAUUUUAAAGCACAAGACAUGUCAUUGUAUCAUAUUUAUUGGUAAAGCUUCAACAAAGGUCCAACCUAAUCUAAAAAUCUUCAAUUACGCUUAGUUACAUGUACUGUACUUUCCCAAGGUAAUAUCAUUAUAGACAGGUAAGGUCUGAUUGAAACUUUAAAAUUCAUCAAAAGUUUACAGGAAUUUCUU